AUCCGUCACAGACUGUUGCAGGAGGUCAGCAGAGGAUGUGACCACAAGUGUACCGGUGAGCGGGACUUCCCACUCUAGAAGCUGCCCCACGGAGGAGCCUUGAGAGAGUGCUGUGUUGUUGAGACCAGCUGGAGGGUACAGGUGACUGAAAUCCAUUAAGGCUUCCAUAUAAACUUUUAAGAUUCUGGGGGGUGGGUGCAGAGAUCUACUCGUCUUGUCGCUGCCCAAGACAAGCCUUGUAUCUACAAAAUCCCCACCAAACACAACCUGGCUCCAAAAAUAAAUUUGUGAGAUGAAUGAAAUGAAAGGCAAGAUGCACAGCCAUGUGACCUUGAAUUCUGGAAGACCUUGAGUUCUGUGUUGAAUGAGACAAGCCAAUGCUCUGAGGAAUGAGGACUCUAUUCCACUGGGAUAUCCUGAGAAACAUACAGGAGGCUUCCAGGAAUCCACACUCCAGAAGAAUGAGAGGCAUUUAUCGCCCUGCUCCCAUAUCCAUUGGUUGACAGCUGCCCCAGGGGCAUUAACUAUUCCGCGUGUCUGAGCUGAAAUUUUGCAUGGCAAUGGGAUGUCUAACAAGACUGACCAGAGUUCAAAACCUGGCUUCUUCAUUUUCAAGUUACGUUUGUUAUUAUUGCUUAGCAUUUUGGAGAUGUAUACUCAUUCCCCCAGCUGUUAUUUAGACUUUAUCUCACUGGAAUGUUGUGAAAAAUAUUUGUUACAAUGUGGCUCUACAUAUCUUUUUCUUUGCUUAGUAGAAUUUGGCAAGUGACAAAUUUGUAUUGGACAUUUUUCAAGCACUUAAGAAUUCAGUGGCAGGGACAGCAUAACCUCAUCAUAACGCUGUCACGUGGCCAGACUGCAGGAAGCAAGGUUUUGAACACUUCGUGGGUAACAAGGAUACGUUGACAUUCCUCCCUGAAAGAUGAAUGAUUGCAAAAUUCGUAGCUCCUAGUAAGGAAGACAAACGCUGUGAAACUUCCUUUCCUCAUCCAGUUACUGUGGGAAAACUGCGUGCUAAAC
rnacentral:lncRNA from 1 species